rnacentral:rRNA from 1 species
GACGAACGCUGGCGGCGCGCUUAACACAUGCAAGUCGAGCGAAGCGGCGGACGGGUGAGUAACACGUGAGUAACCUGCCUUAGACAUUGGGAUAGCCUCGGGAAACCGGGAUUAAUACCAAAUGGUCUAAGAUGGACUCGCGUCCCAUUAGCUAGUUGGGAGGUAACGGCCGACCAAGGCGACGACGGGUAGCCGGCCUGAGAGGGCGACCGGCCACAUUGGGACUGAGAUACGGCCCAAACGCUACGGGAGGCAGCAGGGGGUAAUAUUGCACAAUGGGGGAACCCCUGAUGCAGCAACGCCGGGUGCGGGAUGACGGCUUUCGGGUUGUAAACCGCUUUCAGCCAUGACGCGGUAGUGGCAGAAGAAGCACCGGCUAACUACGUGCCAGCCGCCGCGGUAAUUC